UACGUAGGGACCAAGCGUUGUUCGGAUUUACUGGGCGUAAAGGGCGCGUAGGCGGCGCGGUAAGUCACUUGUGAAAUCUCUGAGCUUAACUCAGAACGGCCAAGUGAUACUGCAGUGCUAGAGUGUGGAAGGGGCAAUCGGAAUUCUUGGUGUAGCGGUGAAAUGCGUAGAUAUCAAGAGGAACACCUGAGGUGAAGACGGGUUGCUGGGCCGACACUGACGCUGAAGCGCGAAAGCCAGGGGAGCAAACGGG
rnacentral:rRNA from 1 species